CGAGUUGACCAGACAAUCGCUGCUUUAUCGUUGUAUUUCAAAUUUCGGUUUGAUCUAGACAGAUAGGGGGGAGGAAAGUCCGGGCUCCAAUGAGCAGGGUGCCAGGUAACGCCUGGGCGGCGUGAGCCGACGACAAGUGCAGCAGAGAGAAGACCGCCGAUGACCGCUUGCGGAACAGGUAAGGCUGAAAGGGUGCGGUAAGAGCGCACCGGAUUGCUGGUAACAGUAAUUGCAGGGUAAACUCCACCUGGAGCAAGACCAAAUAGGGUUUCAUGAUUAUUAAAACGCAAGUUUCGAUAAUAUAAGCGUGGCUCGCGUGGAAACCGGGUAGGUUGCUUGAGCUAUAGAGCGAUUUAUAGCCUAGACGAAUGAUUGUCAUCUUGUUUACUUUUAGUGAAUGAGCUACAAAACCCGGCUUAUAACGGUCAACUCACUUA
rnacentral:RNase_P_RNA from 1 species